GGCAGUGUGGUGCAAUGGUUUGAGCAUUGGGCUACAACUCUGGAGGCCAGGGUUUGAUUCCCUGCUCAGCCA
rnacentral:tRNA from 1 species